CCAAUCGGAGGCCAUGAGUGUCACCGAUUUCACCUGACACUGAGGUUUAAAGUGGUCAGCCAGCAAGUCUCCGGCCACAGCAUAAACAUGGCCUCUUCCUUCUCCUUUGGAUUGCCAAUGCACACAGGCCGCCGUAUCCAUAUAUGCUGCGUCAUCCCUCACUGAAUCGCUGCAGUUCAGGGAGACUCCUCAGAGUUGAAAUUGGAAAGGGAUAAGGAAUAGAGAGGGAGGGAGGAGCAAUUGCCGUCCUGAAUUCCAGCAUCUACGAGUCGGAUUGUGUAGUUGUUGUAGUUGAUUCCCGUCACUCUGUAUGUUGCUGAAUACAGAUGAAGGAGAGUGACGUUGUUUUCACAGGCUAGCUCGUAGAUGUGAUCGCCGCAGUUGGGCGGGUCAUCUCGUAAUCGGAAUGGAUGUGAGAUGUUUGUGAUAAUGCCGCAACGAGACGGAGCACAGGACUUGCCCUGUUCUAGAGAACUCGUGAGUCCAUACAUUAGAAGUAGUGUAAACAACUCUGAUUGCCAACACCUUGGGCCUUUCUCUCUGUUCAUCGUUCACAAUGAUGUGAAGCUGCGCCACCUCUGGAUUCUAAGCUUUCUCAUUCAAUCAGAUUUCUUUUCUUCUAAUUAAACACCGCUCCUUAUCCUUUUUCUCCUCUUCUAGCUCCACGCGGCUAACUUGCAUUGUUGUCCAAAGUUGACUUCAAUUUCUGACUAAUGACUUCUCUUUACAUCUCCCUUGGGCCUUGGCCAGCUUUCUCUCUGAAUAUUGAUGAUAUUUCCUUCCAUCUUCCCUUCGCCUGCCGAAUGAUUUGAUUGGUGGAGGAUUGGUCUAAUUCAUGGUUUGUUUGUUUUUUCCCUUUCUUUAUUCUUGUUUGUUUGUUUGUUUUUGGAUGUGGCGUUAGCUCGAGGCGAGUUAAUGGUGAGGUUUGGUCUAAGGCAUUUGAACUUUGAUGUGAUUGAUGAAUUAGAAUAAAAUACUUAUGUUGGCUUGCCAAAUAUAUAUAGCUUUUACUCUUAUUCAGAAUAUUUUGUAAGAAUUAUGAAUUCUUUAUGAUCAAUGUGCCAAUUUAUGCUCU